rnacentral:lncRNA from 1 species
AAUAUGCCUUCCAAAAAAACUAAUGGAAUAAGAACUGGAAACCAACUAGCAACUCAUCCAAUUUAGACAGAUCCCCUAGACAAACAUGGCUCUUAUGUAGAAUUCAUAGCAGUAUUUACCACUCUAGCCCAUUCUGUGGGGUCUGAGAAUGAAUACCUACUUGCUACUCAGGCCAACCCAGUGUCCAAUACUACUAUAGCCAGGAUUCGGGACUUCACCCAAAUGAACCCUCCAUUGUUUUUAGGGUUAGUAUAAUCAUCCCUAGCUUAAACCAGUCGCCCAAAUCAGCAGGAUUCCAU